rnacentral:piRNA from 1 species
GUGUUUCAGGACAGGGAGCAAGAGA